GAUGAACGCUGGCGGCGUGCCUAAUACAUGCAAGUCGAGCGAACAGAUGAGGAGCUUGCUCCUCUGACGUUAGCGGCGGACGGGUGAGUAACACGUGGAUAACCUACCUAUAAGACUGGGAUAACUUCGGGAAACCGGAGCUAAUACCGGACAAUAUAUUGAACCGCAUGGUUCAAUAGUGAAAGACGGGUUUGCUGUCACUUAUAGAUGGAUCCGCGCCGCAUUAGCUAGUUGGUAAGGUAACGGCUUACCAAGGCAACGAUGCGUAUCCGACGUGAGAGGGUGAUCGGCCACACUGGAACUGAGACACGGUCCAGACUCCUACGGGAGGCAGCAGUAGGGAAUCUUCCGCAAUGGGCGAAAGCCUGACGGAGCAACGCCGCGUGAGUGAUGAAGGUCUUCGGAUCGUAAAACUCUGUUAUUAGGAAAGAACAAAUGUGUAAGUAACUAUGCACGUCUUGACGGUACCUGAUCAGAAAGCCACGGCUAACUACGUG
rnacentral:rRNA from 1 species